rnacentral:rRNA from 1 species
GCCCUACGGGGGGCAGCAGUGAGGAAUAUUGCGCAAUGGACGAAAGUCUGACGCAGCGACGCCGCGUGAAGGAUGAAGGCCCUUUGGGUCGUAAACUUCUGUAGAGAGGGAAGAAUCUCCGCCUUGGGCGGACUGACGGUACCUCUAAAGUAAGGAUCGGCUAACUACGUGCCAGCAGCCGCGGUAAUACGUAGGAUCCGAGCGUUGUCCGGAUUUAUUGGGUGUAAAGGGAGCGCAGGCGGGUCUAUAAGUCGAGGGUGAAAUCUUACAGCUUAACUGUAAAACUGCCUUCGAUACUGUAGAUCUUGAGUGUAGGAAAGGGCGAUGGAAUUCAUGGUGUAGCGGUGAAAUGCGUAGAUAUCAUGAAGAACACCAGUUGCGAAGGCGAUCGCCUAGCCUAUUACUGACGCUCAUGCUCGAAAGUGUGCGGAGCAAACAGGAUUAGAUACCCUAGUAGUCUUG